rnacentral:rRNA from 1 species
ACGGAAGGCAGCAGUGGGGGAUAUUGCACAAUGGGGGAAACCCUGAUGCAGCGACGCCGCGUGAGUGAUGAAGUAUUUCGGUAUGUAAAGCUCUUUCAGCAGGAAAGAUAAUGACGGUACCUGACUAAGAAGCACCGGCUAAAUACGUGCCAGCAGCCGCGGUAAUACGUAUGGUGCAAGCGUUAUCCGGAUUUACUGGGCGUAAAGGGAGCGUAGACGGCAUGGCAAGCCAGAUGUGAAAGGCAGGGGCUCAACCCCUGGACUGCAUUUGGAACUGUCAAGCUAGAGUAUCGGAGAGGUAAGUGGAAUUCCUAGUGUAGCGGUGAAAUGCGUAGAUAUUAGGAGGAACACCAGUGGCGAAGGCGGCUUACUGGACGAUAACUGACGUUGAGGCUCGAAAGCGUGGGGAGCAAACAGGAUUAGAUACCCUGGUA